AGUGAACGCUGGCGGUAGGCCUAACACAUGCAAGUCGAACGGCAGCACAGUAAGAGCUUGCUCUUACGGGUGGCGAGUGGCGGACGGGUUAGGAAUACAUCGGAAUCUACUUUUUCGUGGGGGAUAACGUAGGGAAACUUACGCUACUACCGCAUACGACCUACGGGUGAAAGCAGGGGAUCUUCGGACCUUGCGCGAUUGAAUGAGCCGAUGUCGGAUUAGCUAGUUGGCGGGGUAAAGGCCCACCAAGGCGACGAUCCGUAGCUGGUCUGAGAGGAUGAUCAGCCACACUGGAACUGAGACACGGUCCAGACUCCUACGGGAGGCAGCAGUGGGGAAUAUUGGACAAUGGGCGCAAGCCUGAUCCAGCCAUACCGCGUGGGUGAAGAAGGCCUUCGGGUUGUAAAGCCCUUUUGUUGGGAAAGAAAAGCAGCAGGUUAAUACCCCGCUGUUCUGACGGUACCCAAAGAAUAAGCACCGGCUAACUUCGUG
rnacentral:rRNA from 1 species